rnacentral:rRNA from 1 species
UACGGAGGGUGCGAGCGUUGUCCGGAAUCAUUGGGCGUAAAGGGCGCGUAGGUGGCUUCUUAAGCGUGCGGUGAAAGCCUGGGGCUCAACCCCGGGUCGGCCGUGCGAACUGGGGGGCUGGAGCACUGUAGAGGCAGGCGGAAUUCCGGGUGUAGCGGUGGAAUGCGUAGAGAUCCGGAAGAACACCGGUGGCGAAGGCGGCCUGCUGGGCAGUUGCUGACACUGAGGCGUGACAGCGUGGGGAGCAAACAGG